GUGAACUGGACAUCCUUUUAAUUACGUUUGAGGUUUUGGGCUUUUAAAUAUUCUCAUUGUGGCAGAUAAAGAUGUAGACAGAUCUUAUGCAGAUAGAUUUGGAGGAUGCUCUGCUAGGGUUAGAUAAGAUGCUUUCGACAUUAACGGAGGAAGAGAAGAAAUGUAAAGAUCGAAAGGCUUUAAUGCAAUUACAUCUACAUUUUUUGAAUGAAAUUCUUCAGGACGUGAUGAAGAAGAAGACCGCUGGUACAUUAUGGGACAUUGAAUUGCAGAAAUUGAGCUUAAGUCGACGAAAUUGAGCAAUUUCGAAUUUUUUUGAUACAUGGCCGAAUUACUGGGCGUGACUUGGAGCAUGAUGUCGCUGACGUGGCGUCCAGUCAGCAAUUUCUAGAAAGUCUAGUCAGCAAUUUCUAAAAGACAUUUGGCAUGAAGAAAGAGACUUAACCGCCCAUUUAAAUUCAAAUUAGGAUUAAGAUUUAUAUUUAUUUGUUUAUUUAGGAUUUUUACUCUUAAUUUUGAAUGCUACAUUUUAGGAUUUUUGAGGACUAUAAAUACCCCAUUGGGGUAAGCCUCAAGGGGGGGACGGAUCCAUGAGCAUUCUUCACUUUGCAUUUAUUAAACUCUUUGUUUCUUUCUAGUUUUAAUAAAUUUCUUUUUUUGAUUUA